UCCUUAGAUGUCCUGGGCCGCACGCGCGCUACACUGACAUGUUCAACAAGCCUCCUAGUUCGACAGGAUUUGGGAAAUCUUUGAACGCAUGUCGUGAUAGGGAUAGAUCAUUGCAAUUAUUGAUCUUGAACGAGGAAUUCCUAGUAAACGCGAGUCAUCAGCUCGCAUUGAUUACGUCCCUGCCCUUUGUACACACCGCCCGUCGCACCUACCGAUUGAAUGUUUCGGUGAAGAUUCCGGAUAGGACUUUUUUGAUUUAUUUCAAUUUUGUCUUAAAAGCUAUCUAAACCUCAACAUUUAGAGGAAGGUGAAGUCGUAACA
rnacentral:rRNA from 1 species